GCACAGGGGAAUCAAUAACUCUGGUAACCAGGAAUGAUUGGAAGGUUGGAGGUGAAUUAAUCGGUAUCUUGGAGCGUGCUAAUCAAGAAGUUCCAGGGGAGCUGUUUGAUAUGGCUGAAAGAUACCGGCAAUUAAAGAUAAAGAAGGAUAGCGAAAGAGACCUAAUACCCAGCAAGGGAUGCUGGCGAGAAAACUUUUGAUUUCAGAGUAUGAAUAUCACUCUUACUAAAGAAGAGGUUUUUCUAAGCAACUGAUUAAACAUUUUGAAUGGU